CUACGGGGUGCUCCAGUGGGGAAUAUUGGGCAAUGGGCGCAAGCCUGACCCAGCAACGCCGCGUGAGGGAAGAAGGUUUUCGGAUUGUAAACCUCUGUCCUUGGGGACGAAGAAGUGACGGUACCCAAGGAGGAAGCUCCGGCUAACUACGUGCCAGCAGCCGCGGUAAUACGUAGGGAGCAAGCGUUGUCCGGAAUUACUGGGCGUAAAGGGUGCGUAGGCGGCAUAUUAAGUCAGGUGUGAAAUACUCGGGCUCAACCCGGGGGCUGCAUUUGAAACUGGUAUGCUUGAGUGUGAGAGAGGAAAGUGGAAUUCCUAGUGUAGCGGUGGAAUGCGUAGAUAUUAGGAGGAACACCAGUGGCGAAGGCGACUUUCUGGCUCAUAACUGACGCUGAGGCACGAAAGCGUGGGGAGCAAACAGGAUUAGAUACCCUAGUAGUC
rnacentral:rRNA from 1 species